CAGCAGACACAUUCCCGCCAAUCAGCAGCAGACCCUCCCUCCCACCUCCUGGACAGCAUCCAUUUUACAUUCAUUGUGAAGCUGCAUUCUUAGUGAGCUGUCCAGGAGGUGGGAGGGUCUGGGAGGGAGGGUCUGCUGCUGAUUGGCUGGAAUGUGUCUGCUG
rnacentral:miRNA from 1 species